rnacentral:rRNA from 1 species
UACGUAGGCAGCAAGCGUUGUUCGGAGUUACUGGGCGUAAAGGGUGUGUAGGCGGUUCCUUAAGUUUGCUGUGAAAUCUCCCGGCUUAACCGGGAGGGUGCGGUGAAUACUGAGGGACUAGAGUACGGGAGAGGAAAGUGGAAUUCCUGGUGUAGCGGUGAAAUGCGUAGAUAUCUGGAGGAACACCGGUGGCGAAGGCGGCAUCCUGGACCGGUAUUGACGCUGAGGCGCGAAAGCCAGGGGAGCAAACGGG